GCUAGCUAGCUAGCGAACUCCCUUUUAACAACAAUCAGCUUGCACCCGAACUAGCUAGCUCAGAUGUGGCUAGCGGAGUGUAGUCAACACAAUUCAAAAUGGCGAAAUGAAAAAGACGGAAGUAAGGGGGUUGCUACGAAGUUGAGGCAAAGAGUAUAGAAGCUGCUGCAGGGCUUCCUGGAUCAACUGCUUGAACAUAACAGGGAGCCAUACCCCUGACGACAAAACCCCAGCCCACUGCAUCACCCAUCACCUGAGCUCCUGGAUCCAGGGUCCUUGCUUGUUCUCUCUCCAUAGGGCAUAGACAUGUCUCUCAGUAGUGUUAGCAAAACACUGAGUCUGGGGCCAGUCAGACGCCAACAUGUGUGACCUGUAAAGUUCAACAUUCAAAAGCAAGUUCAGCACUUGUUGCUGUAUUCUGUGUUUUUAAUUUCAUAUCCAGAUAUCUUGGUUGAGGAGCUCAGCAGUGGCAAGCGGGCUGUUGUUGAAAA